AUGUUAACAUCGAGUGUAGGCUGGGAGCUGCCGCGGAUGCAAGAUGGUAUUCCACUGAGGACACGGGUGCUGCAGGGACCUCUGGGCUGUUGCACACUGGGUUCACUCAGUGGCCCAAGCUUCCUGUUUUUGCUGGCCUCCUCACUCAAAUCUGCCUUGAGUUCUUCCCUCUGUUUAACUGGAAUAACUGCUCUCUACCCUGGAGUACACUCUGAAAGGAAGGAAGUCUUACCAAAUGGUGAAAUUUUGAAGCUCUGCUACUGUCAUUACAGAGUACAGAAUGAAUUACAGGUUAUGAAAUGA
rnacentral:lncRNA from 1 species